UCAGGUUAUCCUGCGUGCUUGAGGGAGAAAACCAUUUGCUCUUGAAGGUGAUUUAGGUACCUGACCCAUUUGUACUUGAUGAAUGCUUAACUCACUCCUGUGGCGAGUUAUUUCUGUCAGGAACCUGUAAUCACCUCACCCACUAUGUCAUUGCUACUAGAACUUCUUAGACAAGAAGCAUGGUAUGUGGCUGUCCAAAAGGGCAAAGCUGACAGGAGACAGGUAAAAAGAACAAAGGACGAGUUCGAAAAUGGAGUGUUCUUUCCGACUUGAA